CCAAUAGCGUAUAUUAAAGUUGUUGCAGUUAAAAAGCUCGUAGUUGAAUUUCGGGGUCGGUAGGUUGGUCAUGCCAUCGGUAUGCACUGGUCUCACCGAUUCCUCCCUCUUGUAGAAGCGUAAUGCCAUUAACUUGGUGUUGCGGGGAAACAGGACUGUUACUUUGAAAAAAUUAGAGUGUUUAAAGCAGGCUAACGCCUGAAUACAUUAGCAUGGAAUAAUGAAAUAGGACGUCGAUCCUAUUUUGUUGGUUUCUAGGGUUGACGUAAUGAUUAAUAGGGAUAGUUGGGGGCAUUAGUAUUCAAUUGUCAGAGGUGAAAUUCUUGGAUUUAUUGAAGACUAACUACUGCGAAAGCAUUUGCCAAGGAUGUUUUCAUUAAUCAAGAACGAAAGUUAGGGGAUCGAAGACGAUCAGAUACCGUCGUAGUCUUAACCAUAAACUAUGCCGACUAGGGAUCGGAUGAUGUUAAUUUUUUAAUGACUCAUUCGGCGCCUUACG
rnacentral:rRNA from 1 species